GAUGAACGCUGGCGGCGUGCUUAACACAUGCAAGUCGAACGGAAAGGCCCUGCUUUUGUUGGGUUCUCGAUUGCCGAACGGGUGUGUAACACGUGUGUAACCUGCCCUUAACUUUGGGAUAACUUCAGGAAACUGGGUCUAAUACCCCGUAUAAUCUCCUGCUGCCUGGUGUGGGUUUGAAAGUUUCGGCGGUUCGGUAUGUACUCGCGGCUUAUCAGCUUGUUUGUUGGGUAGUGGCUUACCAAGGCUUUGACGGGUAGCCUGCCUGAGAGGGUGCACGGCCACAUUGGGACUGAGGUACGGACCAGACUCCUACGGGAGGCAGCAGUGGAGAAUAUUGCAGAGUGGGCGGAAGCGUGAGGCAGAAACGCCGCGUGCGGGGUGACGGCCUUCGGGUUGUAAACAGCUUUCGCCUGUAACGAAGAGUGAGUGACGGUAAUGAGUAAAGAAGCACCGGCUAACUACGUG
rnacentral:rRNA from 1 species